GACAGAGGGUGCAAACGUUGUUCGGAAUUACUGGGCGUAAAGCGCGUGUAGGCGGCUAUGCAAGUCGGAUGUGAAAGCCCUCGGCUCAACCGGGGAAGUGCACCCGAAACUGCAAAGCUAGAGUCUCGGAGAGGAUCGUGGAAUUCUCGGUGUAGAGGUGAAAUUCGUAGAUAUCGAGAGGAACACCGGUGGCGAAGGCGGCCUUCUGGACAGUGACUGACGCUGAGGCACGAAGGUCAGGGGAGCAAACGGG
rnacentral:rRNA from 1 species